rnacentral:rRNA from 1 species
GAUGAACGCUGGCGGCGUGCCUAAUACAUGCAAGUCGAGCGAACGGACGAGAAGCUUGCUUCUCUGAUGUUAGCGGCGGACGGGUGAGUAACACGUGGAUAACCUACCUAUAAGACUGGGAUAACUUCGGGAAACCGGAGCUAAUACCGGAUAAUAUUUUGAACCGCAUGGUUCAAAAGUGAAAGACGGUCUUGCUGUCACUUAUAGAUGGAUCCGCGCUGCAUUAGCUAGUUGGUAAGGUAACGGCUUACCAAGGCAACGAUGCAUAGCCGACCUGAGAGGGUGAUCGGCCACACUGGAACUGAGACACGGUCCAGACUCCUACGGGAGGCAGCAGUAGGGAAUCUUCCGCAAUGGGCGAAAGCCUGACGGAGCAACGCCGCGUGAGUGAUGAAGGUCUUCGGAUCGUAAAACUCUGUUAUUAGGGAAGAACAUAUGUGUAAGUAACUGUGCACAUCUUGACGGUACCUAAUCAGAAAGCCACGGCUAACUACGUGCCAGCAGCCGCGGUAAUACGUAGGUGGCAAGCGUUAUCCGGAAUUAUUGGGCGUAAAGCGCGCGUAGGCGGUUUUUUAAGUCUGAUGUGAAAGCCCACGGCUCAACCGUGGAGGGUCAUUGGAAACUGGAAAACUUGAGUGCAGAAGAGGAAAGUGGAAUUCCAUGUGUAGCGGUGAAAUGCGCAGAGAUAUGGAGGAACACCAGUGGCGAAGGCGACUUUCUGGUCUGUAACUGACGCUGAUGUGCGAAAGCGUGGGGAUCAAACAGGAUUAGAUACCCUGGUAGUCCACGCCGUAAACGAUGAGUGCUAAGUGUUAGGGGGUUUCCGCCCCUUAGUGCUGCAGCUAACGCAUUAAGCACUCCGCCUGGGGAGUACGACCGCAAGGUUGAAACUCAAAGGAAUUGACGGGGGCCCGCACAAGCGGUGGAGCAUGUGGUUUAAUUCGAAGCAACGCGAAGAACCUUACCAAAUCUUGACAUCCUUUGACAACUCUAGAGAUAGAGCUUUCCCCUUCGGGGGACAAAGUGACAGGUGGUGCAUGGUUGUCGUCAGCUCGUGUCGUGAGAUGUUGGGUUAAGUCCCGCAACGAGCGCAACCCUUAAGCUUAGUUGCCAUCAUUAAGUUGGGCACUCUAAGUUGACUGCCGGUGACAAACCGGAGGAAGGUGGGGAUGACGUCAAAUCAUCAUGCCCCUUAUGAUUUGGGCUACACACGUGCUACAAUGGACAAUACAAAGGGCAGCGAAACCGUGAGGUCAAGCAAAUCCCAUAAAGUUGUUCUCAGUUCGGAUUGUAGUCUGCAACUCGACUACAUGAAGCUGGAAUCGCUAGUAAUCGUAGAUCAGCAUGCUACGGUGAAUACGUUCCCGGGUCU